AUUCUUGUACCGACUCUUUUCUCUGUAUAUAUCAACAAUGUCGCUCUUGCUGCGGAUGAUUCCCUGAUCCACCUCUAGGCAGAUGACACCAUUCUAUAUACAUCUGGCCCUUAUUUGGACACUGUGUUAAAUAACCUCCAAACGAGCUAUACAACACUCCUUCCGUGGCCUCCAACUGCUCUUAAACACUAACAAAACCAAAUGCAUGCUUUUCAACCGUUCGCUGCCCGCAUCCGCCCAACUAGCAUCACUACUCUGGACGGUUCUGACCUAGAAUACGUGGACAACUACAAAUACCUAGGUGUCUGGCUAGACUGUAAACUCUCCGUUUUGUUAACAAAGCCCCUUAAACCACCCACCACUACGACCUGUAUACCCUAGUCGGCUGGCCAUCACUACAUAUUUGUCGCCAGACCCACUGGCUCCAGGUCAUCUAUAAAUCUAUGCUAGGUAAAGCUCUGCCUUAUCUCAGCUCACUGGUCACGAUAACAACACCCACCCAUAGUACGGCUCCAGCAGGUAUAUUUCACUGAUCAUCCCCAAAGCCAACACACCAUUUGGCCGCCUUUCCUUCCAUUUCUCCACUGCCAGUGACUGGAACUAAUUGCAAAAAUCGCUGAAGUUAGAGACUUACAUUUCCCUCACUAACUUUAAAUAUCAGCUAUCUGAGCAGCUAACCGAUCACUGCAGCUGUACACAGUUCAUCUGUAAAUAGCCCACCCAAUCUAUCUACCUCAUCCCCAUAUUGUUUUUAUUUACUUUGCUGCUCUUUUGCACACCAGUAUCAUUACUUACACACCAUCUGCUCAUCAUCUGCUCAUCUAUCACUCCAGUGUUAAUCUGCUAAAUUGUAAUAACUUUGCAACUAUAGCCUAUUUAUUGCCUUACCUCUCAUACCAUUUGCACGCACUGUAUAUAGACUUUUUUUCUGUUGUGUUAUUGAGUGUACGCUUGUUUACUCCAUGUGUAACUCUGUGUUGUUAUUCUGUCGCACUGCUUGGCUUUAUCUUGGCCAGGUCGCAGUUGUAAAUGAGAACAUGUUCUCAACUAGAUCCCCUGGUUAAAUAAAGGUGGAAAAAAAGACCCCCUACACUGUCCAGAAACAACCCUUUUAUCCCCUACACCCUACCCCCUACACUGUCCAGAAACAACCCAUUUACUCCCUACACCCUACCCCCUACACUGUCCAGAAACAGCCCCUUUACCCCGUACACUGUCCAAAACAACCCCUUUAGCUCCUACCCCUACCCCCUACAAUGUCCAGAAACAACCCCUUUAACCCCUACAUUGUCCAGAAACAACCACUUUACCCCCUACACUGUCCAAAACAACCCCUUUACCCCUACACUGUCCAAAACAACCCCUUUAACCCCUACACUGUCCAAAACAACCCCAUUAACCCCUACACUGUCCAAAACAACCCAUUUAACCCCUACACUGUCCAGAAACAACCUCUUUAACCCCUACAUUGUCCAGAAACAACCCCUUUAACCCCUACACUGUCCAGAAACAACCCCCUAUAACCCCUACACUGUCCAGAAACAACCCCUUUACCCCAUACACUGUCCAGAAACAACCCCUUUCACCCAUACACUGUCCAAAACAACCCAUUUAACCCCCACACUGUCCAAAACAACCCCUUUAACCCCUACACUGUCCAAAACAACCCCUUUAACCCUUACACCAGUGGUCACCAAACUACGGCCCGCGGGCCGGAUACGGCCCGUCAGCACAUUUGGCCCGGCCCCCUGAACAAUACCAGAGACGCUAUCGAAUUUUUUUCCUAUUUGGCCUCCAGAAAAAAAAUCCUAGGCCCGGCCCUGUCAAAGAGAGAACGGAAUAAUGGCGAAAAGGUUAGGUAAGAGAAAAAUUGAUUCAGAAUGCAGGGUAUUUAACCUGCAGUGGACAAACAAAUUUUUUUUUGUUCAAUGCAAAGAAAAGGCUGUUUGUCUCAUCUGUCAAGAGACGGUGGCGGUAUUCAAAGAAUACAAUCUUCGCCGACACUAUGAAUCCCGUCACAAAGACAAGUACGAUAGCUUGCAAGGCCAAAUACGAGCAGACAAACUCUCAAAGCUAAAAAGUGGACUACUAUCUCAGCAGAAUACAUUUGUACGCCAAGCUCAGCUGAACCAGGCAUCCGUUCGGGCCAGCUUUCGGGUUGCUAAACUGAUAGCAAGAAGCGGUAAGCCUUUCACUGACGGAGAGUUUGUUAAGAAAUGUAUGGAUGCUGUCACGGAGGAGGUGUGUCCCGAGAAGAAAGAUGCAUUUAAUGCCGUAAGUCUGUCGGCGAGUACAAUCACCAGACGCGUUGAAGAAAUCGGGAGUAAUGUAUAUGCCCAGCUGCAGCAGAAGACGAAAGAAUUUGACUUUUUUUCAUUAGCACUGGAUGAGAGCACGGACGUGCAAGACACAGCGCAACUGCUCAUUUUUAUUCGUGGAGUUAGCGCAAACUUUGAGAUAUGCGAGGAGCUGGCAGCCCUCCAAAGUCUCAAAGGGACUACAACGGGAGAGGAUAUUUUUGACAAAGUGUGCCAAACCAUGGAGAAGUUGGACCUGGACUGGUCAAAGCUAGCUAGCAUCACGACUGACGGGGCUCCUAGCAUGGUGGGCGAAACUCGCGGUCUAAUAGGACGCAUGAACCGGGAGUUUGUGCUGCAAAGUGUUGAAGUGGGAUUCUGUAAUGAAGGUUGUGGUGUCGUGCAUAAACUUCAUAAGAGCAAAGGGACUUAAACACAGGCAGUUCCAAGAAUUCCUGUCUGAACUGGAGUCUACGCACGGAGAUGUGCUGUACUACACAGAGGUCCGAUGGCUGAGCCGGGGCAGAGUUUUGAGGCGUUUUUACGAGCUGCUACCCGAAAUUAACGCAUUUCUUCAUUUAAAAGACAAAACGGUCCCAGAGCUGAUCGACCCAGAAUGGAAAUGGCACCUCGCAUUUUUAACAGACGUGACAGAAAUACUUAACAGCCUUAACUUGCAGCUACAAGGCGAGGGGAAACUCAUUUGCGAUAUGUUUUCACACAUAAAAGCAUUUGAGGUGAAAUUAGCGCUGCUUUUGGAACAAGUGAAAAAGCGCAACUUCGUCCAUCUUCCUGCUACCCAAAACCUGUCGACAGAGAACCCAGCGGUCCCGUUCCCAGCUGAAAAGUGCGUGGAAGCACUGGAAAUGCUGAAGGCGGAGUUCGGUGUGGAUUCAGUGAACUACAUGUUCAUGCAAAAGAAAUCCGUCUUUUUCAGAACCCCUUUGUUGCCUACAUUGAUGAAGCCCAGCCUUCAUAUCAGUUUGAGUUGGCUGAGUUACAGAACUGUGAUGUUCUGAAAGACGCAUUCAAGCCCAACAGUCUCAUUGACUUCUAUGCCGCCCUCCCAAACGACACAUAUCCAAACAUCAAAAAACACGCAAUGAAAAUGUCCACAGUUUUUGGCAGCACGUAUAUCUGCGAGAAAACCUUUUCUCGCAUGAAACUGCUGAAAACCCCGAUGAGAUCAAGAUUGACAGAUGAACAUUUGAAUCAGUGCUUGAGACUGGCUGUAACUAGAAUGGAACCUGAUAUUCAACUUCUCACCAGCCAGAUGCAGGCCCACAGUUCACACUGAUGAACAUACAUAGGGAAGUUGAUGAGAGAGAGCUGCAAACAGCGGUGUCUACAAGCCUACUGGAACCUACAAAAGGAUUAUAAGGAAGGAACACAAGAACUUUAAGAGACUGCUCAUAUGUGUCAGAGAGAUUCUGCUCUGACAACUGAGCUGAACUUUUAUCUGUUAAGAUUGUGCAUGGCACGACAGAAAGUUAAUGUUCCAUGGCUUUUUUUUCUAUGAAGAACCCAGAGAGAGUUAUUUAGUUAUUAUUUAUUUCCUGUUUUUUCUGUGAAGAACUCAGAGAGGGUUAUUUAGUUAUUAUUUAUUUCAUUAAUAGUGUUAUUAUUUGUUUCCUGACUUUUUUUCUGUAAAGAACCUGGAAAGGGUUAUUUGGUUAUGUGUGGCUUUCUGGAAAACAAUAAAAAUUUUAAGCUCCC